rnacentral:rRNA from 1 species
UACGGAGGGGGCUAGCGUUGUUCGGAAUUACUGGGCGUAAAGCGCGUGUAGGCGGCUUGGCAAGUCAGAUGUGAAAGCCCUCGGCUUAACCGAGGAAGUGCGUCUGAAACUGCUGAGCUUGAGUCUCGGAGAGGAUGGCGGAAUUCCGCAAGUAGAGGUGAAAUUCGUAGAUAUGCGGAGGAACACCGGUGGCGAAGGCGGCCAUCUGGACGAGUACUGACGCUGAGACGCGAAAGCGUGGGGAGCAAACAGG